GACGAACGCUGGCGGCGUGCUUAACACAUGCGAGUCGAAUGAUGAACCACUUCGGUGGGGAUUAGUGGCGAACGGGUGAGUAACACGUGGGCAAUCUGCCCUUCACUCUGGGACAAGCCCUGGAAACGGGGUCUAAUACCGGAUACGAGCCUCCAAGGCAUCUUGGGGGUUGGAAAGCUCCGGCGGUGAAGGAUGAGCCCGCGGCCUAUCAGCUUGUUGGUGAGGUAAUGGCUCACCAAGGCGACGACGGGUAGCCGGCCUGAGAGGGCGACCGGCCACACUGGGACUGAGACACGGCCCAGACUCCUACGGGAGGCAGCAGUGGGGAAUAUUGCACAAUGGGCGAAAGCCUGAUGCAGCGACGCCGCGUGAGGGAUGACGGCCUUCGGGUUGUAAACCUCUUUCAGCAGGGAAGAAGCGAAAGUGACGGUACCUGCAGAAGAAGCGCCGGCUAACUACGUGCCAGCAGCCGCAGUAAUAC
rnacentral:rRNA from 1 species